rnacentral:rRNA from 1 species
GGACUACUCGGGUUUCUAAUCCUGUUUGCUCCCCACGCUUUCGAGCCUCAGCGUCAGUAAUGGGCCAGUUAGCCGCCUUCGCCACUGGUGUUCUUCCGAAUAUCUACGAAUUUCACCUCUACACUCGGAGUUCCGCUAACCUCUCCCAUACUCAAGACAGCCAGUAUCAAAGGCAAUUCCAAGGUUGAGCCCUGGGCUUUCACCUCUGACUGAACUAUCCGCCUACGCUCCCUUUACGCCCAGUAAUUCCGAGCAACGCUAGCCCCCUUCGUAUUACCGCGGCGGCUGGCAC